AUACGAAGGAGGCUAGCGUUGUUCGGAAUCACUGGGCGUAAAGCGCACGUAGGUGGAUCAAUUAGUUGAGGGUGAAAUCCCGGGGCUCAACCUCGGAACUGCCUUCAAUACUGUUGAUCUAGAGUCCGAGAGAGGUGAGUGGAAUUCCUAGUGUAGAGGUGAAAUUCGUAGAUAUUAGGAAGAACACCAGUGGCGAAGGCGGCUCACUGGCUCGGUACUGACGCUGAGGUGCGAAAGCGUGGGGAGCAAACAGGAUUAGAUACCCUAGUAGUCC
rnacentral:rRNA from 1 species